rnacentral:rRNA from 1 species
CGGCGGACGGGUGAGUAACACGUGGAUAACCUACCUAUAAGACUGGGAUAACUUCGGGAAACCGGAGCUAAUACCGGAUAAUAUAUUGAACCGCAUUGUUCAAUAGUGAAAGACGGUUUUGCUGUCACUUAUAGAUGGAUCCGCGCCGCAUUAGCUAGUUGGUAAGGUAACGGCUUACCAAGGCAACGAUGCGUAGCCGACCUGAGAGGGUGAUCGGCCACACUGGAACUGAGACACGGUCCAGACUCCUACGGGAGGCAGCAGGG